UUUAAGGGCUGAUUCCAGUUUGUUAGGUUUAAUCUUGUCAUUUGGAGCCGCUUUUGGAUUAAUUGUCCAUCCAGAUCCAGGAGAAGAUUGUGGAUCAGUGUUUAUGCUUGGACCUUCAUCAUGUGGAUUAUUGUUCUGUUUUUUGGACUGUAGUUCAUUGUAGAGCUCCAGGAGUACGGACUCGCACAGAAGGACGAUACGUGGACUGUUUGACCAAGGCUUCUCGGAUGGAGAAACAGACGGGAAAAAGGAUAGAAGAACGUCUUGGAGAACGGACGAUAACGGGAUCAGACAAGAGGCAGAGAAAAGAGGAAGAGACGAGGAAGCAAGGGAACAAAGAACUACAGCUGGACACGGAGAGAUGGUGGGCAUGAAUACUUCUGUUUCACAAAAACCCAGGAAAAGAUGAAGCCCUGACAGUGUUCACAGACAUGACUGGAUGAUUUUAACUUUAUAUCAUUUCCAUAUUUCAGACCUUCUGUGAGAUGAGGCAACACUGUGAGGAUCCUGAGGCACCAAGAGAUGUUCCAGCUCCAGUUGUGUUCCGUCUCAUGAAGAUUUCAG